rnacentral:lncRNA from 1 species
GACCCGGUUGAGGAUUCUGCCAAAUAUUCGUGAACGUUGUAGACUGGAAGAUUGAAAAUAUGGAUUGGGUCAUCAGAAUCGCUGUUUUGGAGGAGUCAUUUCAACGGCUUGUUGGUUCUGUGACUCUUUCACUCGCUGCUGCGCGGACGGACGUGUUGUGCCUGAUAACAGAGGACUUCAAAACUGGUCUCCUUGUCCAGUUCUUGGACUUGCUUGUGCUGCACUAGCCUACACAGAGAGAUGUUGGAGAGUUGUGCUAAGUGGUAGUUAUGAGAUAUUUUGAUCUGGGUCACUUAUAUACAACGCCAAGAAGACACACUAGUUGAACCAGGAUUUGCUUCGGAGCCUCCUAACACUGAGGUAGCUCUGACGGAGCACGUGUCAACCUCAUCGUCUAUGUGGACAUCCCUGGAAAGUAUACUGCCAAGGCAAUUGGGGUUAAGUGACUUGCCCAGGGUCACACAGCGAGUAAGUAUCAAGUGUCUGAGGCUGGAUUUGAACUCACGUCCUCCUGACUCCAAGGCCAGUGCUCUAUCCACUUUGCCCCCAGCUGCCCCUUUUUUUCUUUCUUUUUUUUCUCUCAGACUUUUAAUAUGUAACAACCUCCUUAAAAAAUGGAGACUCCCACAAAACAAUCUAUGCAAAUAAUUUCGGUCUUUAUUGAAAUGAAAUUAAGAAAUUGUUAUUUUUAUAACCACAAAAUCAAAUCUUAAAAUAUAAUAAAUAACAAUAAAUGUUACA